GCCACCCCGGGUAGCCUUUGCGCGUACUCUGGGAUUGAAUUGUUGCAGCCGGGCGUUAACGAAGCUAGAUCUUGAUCAUUGUGUUAAGCAGGCACUGAAAGAAGGAUAUACCCCCUCCGUGUUAGAGCUCUAUGCUUAUUGAUAGUUCGGGCAUUCUACCGGAUUAUCUGACGUGGGUAAACGUUUUAUAGUUUGCGGCGCGUUUCCUUUGCUGGACAGCCUCAUGGAUCUUGAAGAGGGGGAAUUGGCUGAGUCAGAUGAAGAGCUACCCAAGAUAGUCUCAGACAACUUGGAGGUGUAUACGCGACUUGAGCGACCAGUGGCGCCUCGGCCGCCCGUCCAGCCGCCUGCCUUCGCUAGCGACGAGGACGAGUCGCCGGCGGGUGGCGCCUCCAGCGGCAGCGGCAGCGACAGCGACGGCGACAGC